rnacentral:rRNA from 1 species
UGAGACACGGUCCAGACUCCUACGGGAGGCAGCAGUGGGGAAUAUUGCACAAUGGGCGCAAGCCUGAUGCAGCCAUGCCGCGUGUGUGAAGAAGGCCUUCGGGUUGUAAAGCACUUUCAGCGAGGAGGAAGGUGGUGAGCUUAAUACGUUCAUCAAUUGACGUUACUCGCAGAAGAAGCACCGGCUAACUCCGUGCCAGCAGCCGCGGUAAUACGGAGGGUGCAAGCGUUAAUCGGAAUUACUGGGCGUAAAGCGCACGCAGGCGGUUUGUUAAGUC